rnacentral:rRNA from 1 species
AUUGAACGCUGGCGGCAUGCCUUACACAUGCAAGUCGAACGGCAGCACGGGAGCAAUCCUGGUGGCGAGUGGCGAACGGGUGAGUAAUAUAUCGGAACGUGCCCAGUCGUGGGGGAUAACGUAGCGAAAGCUACGCUAAUACCGCAUACGAUCUAUGGAUGAAAGCGGGGGAUCGCAAGACCACGCGCGAUUGGAGCGGCCGAUAUCAGAUUAGGUAGUUGGUGGGGUAAAGGCCCACCAAGCCGACGAUCUGUAGCUGGUCUGAGAGGACGACCAGCCACACUGGGACUGAGACACGGCCCAGACUCCUACGGGAGGCAGCAGUGGGGAAUUUUGGACAAUGGGCGCAAGCCUGAUCCAGCAAUGCCGCGUGCAGGAUGAAGGCCUUCGGGUUGUAAACUGCUUUUGUACGGAGCGAAAAGGCUUCCACUAAUACUGGGGGCUCAUGACGGUACCGUAAGAAUAAGCACCGGCUAACUACGUGCCAGCCGCCGCGGUAAAAC